GAUGAACGCUGGCGGCGUGCUUAAUACAUGCAAGUCGAGCGAAAGGACGCGACGCUUGCUUCUCUGAUGUUAGCGGCGCACGGGUGAGUAACACGUGGAUCCCCUACCUAUAUGUCUGGGAUAACUUCGGGAAACCGGAGAUAAUCCCGGAUAAUCUUUUGCACCGCAUGGUUCAAAAGAAAAAGACGGUCUUGCUGUCUCUAAUAGCUGGAUCCGCGCUGCAUUAGCUAGUUGGUAAGCUAACGGCUUACCAAGGCAACGAUGCAUAGCCGACCGGCGAGGGUGAUCGGCCACACUGGAACUGGGACACGGUCCAGACUCCUACGGGAGGCAGCAGUAGGGUAUCUUACGCAGUAGGCGAAAGCCUGACGGAGCAACGCCGCGUGAGUGAUGGAGGUCUUCGGAUCGUAAAACUCUGUUAUUAGGGAAGAACAUAUGUGUAAGGAACUGUGCACAUCUUGACGGUACCUAAUCAGAAAGCCACGGCUAACUACGUG
rnacentral:rRNA from 1 species